CCGUCUGGUCGCGGAGUGGAGCGAACAAAGUGUAACCUUAACACACGCGGCUGAAAAGUCGAAGGACUCUCCCACCACCCCCUUGCACCAACCCCCUUUUAACGCCCUCUUUUUCCGCCAGCAGACAAAGCAGACAGACAAUGCCGUUCAUUACAGGAGGCGAAGCGUAGGAAAAACAAACAAGUUUUUCCAGCUUUGGCGACGCCGUUGCUGAUAAAGCAUAAAACUGUCGUCAAGGCUUUGCCAGAAUUUUCUUUUUUCCACUCUUUUCAAAUUGAACUGGAUUCUGGGGGCAGGGGGAGAGGGAACAGAGGAAUUGGAACUGGAAGGACUCUUGUGUGCUGGGCGUCAUAAUAAGGCUAACACAAUGGGCGGGAUUAAGUGGGUCCAAAGUGCAAUGUGCUCUUUGUCCUUUGUAGCUGCAUUUGGAGCCCAUCUGCCCGAGGCUUGUUGCAUGUUUGUUGCGCUUUUGUGUGGGCACGGGCAACAACGGCUGCUGGCAUAGUGCUCUAGCAUACAUGUGGAUGUCCUUGUUGGAGCCAGAUCUAGUGGCCUCCACUUCCGAUACAAACACAUAUAUAUCGUCGGUUGGGCAUUCGUUCAGACUACCUAACCGAAUGGUUUCCUACCGGCUGCAGGACCUCCUUUCCUGCUCUGCACUCCUUUUCACACCCAUUUCUUUUUUGCCUGCCCGCCUGGGCAAACAUUGUCGCCAUCGCAGUCGUUGGGUGUGGAAAUAAUUUGAAUGCUCUGUGACUUGCUUACAGCGGAAGUGAGAGGGGAAUUACGUUAUAAGUAGCUAACUUCCUUUGCACAGGAGCAACUUUCAAGUUCCGUUUUGUAUUUGUUUAUCUAGGCAUACUUAGAAGUGAAGUUUGCAAAUAAUAGGUAACUGCUCGUUUAGAAAGUCAGCAUUGUAAGGGACACUUCCGCUCCUAUCUUUGGGUUUCUAAUAUUUAAACAUAUACGUACAGCUACUCCUUAUUGAGUUGAUUUUCCUAAUUGGCAAACUUUUAUAGCGCUUUGGCAACUUUUUUCCAUGAAUGUGCACCAGAAGAAAUGGUGCAUGCAACACUAAUAUUGGCUCCACCUGUAUUUUGGCAAGCUGCAUUUUUUCCCCGCUGCGAAUCGCCGAAAUGCAGCCAAUUUUCGCCCUCUCACGCGCCAGUGACCGAUUUGUUCUGGGAUUGGUCCCAUGGAGGGCAAACGGCAGACGGAGGCAGUGAACCAUGCGGAUGUCAAAUAUUUGCUCAGUUGUUAAAUUCCAUCAAUGGCAUGUCACAGCCAGGCACACGUGUCAACGGCAGAGGUAUUUUUUCGAGGAAAGACAAUCAGAAAAGAGCCAGAUUGUAGCCCAGCGAAGGAUACGUGUACACACGUUCUGAAACUAUGAUAAUUAACAGGCAAUUAAGCCUGCCGAAGAAGUUUUACAAACACAGCUGUUGCACUCAUCGAACAAACAAUGCCAAGAAGACGGGUUAACUUAAGCGCUCCGACCACAAAAUGGCGGCCAGACGACUUCCGCUUUGCGACUUCCAUAGAGCACAAGCCACCAGAAAGGGAAAGAAAUACAGAGUGAGAGAGAGAGAGAGGGAGCCGCCGUCGAACGCCAUUGUUUAUUUAAGCCAAUAUCCGUUAUUUAAGUUGAACUUCCUUCCGGCUGACAUUCGUUGUUGCCGUUGUCAGCU